rnacentral:misc_RNA from 1 species
UGGAUUUCGAUUCAAUAAGAUAUUCACACUCCUAAAUCAUAUGGGAAGAGGAAAGGAAAGCAAAAUGUAUACAAUAAUCGAUGCCAAAAUAUUCGUAUUGAUUUCAAAUCAGUAAUGAUUUCAAAUCAGUAAUUCAUUGCAUCUAUGGAUAAGAAUUCCUUCAAAUUCUUGGGCUUUGGAUAUCAAAUCACAAGAAUUAAUUAAUGACCAAGAAAAAUAUACUUAUUAUUGCAGGGUCUUAGAACAUCAUUUAAAGUUCAUAGAUUUACACAGGAUCACAACCCAGUCUAUAUCACAAACACCCAAUCUCAUCUCAACAAUCCUGUAGUACCAUUACACUAAAAAAGGAACGAGUGGAAUUAAAAUGAUCUUGGCUUGGCAACAAUGGUGGAGUGCUUCAAUAUAUGCAAACUGAAUUGCCCACCCUUCUCUGUGGUAUCAAGUUUUGACUGUCCUGGAGGUGGCAAGAGCUCGAAAUUCUGUACCAAACGACCCAAAGUAAUACCAAGAAUUGGCAAUGCAAGAAUAAUUCCAGGGCAGCUUCUUCUUCCGACCCCAAAUGGCAGGUACCUGAAAUCAUUUCCAUUGGCCUCAACCUUGGACUCCUCUUCCAAGAACCUCUCUGGCCUGAAUUCUUCAGGGUUCUUCCAGUGAGCAGGGUUGUUGGCAAGCCACCAAGCAUUCACCAAAAUUUUGCUUUCCGCAGGAAUAUCAUAACCACCAAGCUUUGCGUCAUGGAGAUUCAUGUGGGGCACAAGAAGAGGAAUUGCCAUUCUCAAACGAAGAGUCUCUUUGAUAACAGCUUGGAGAUAGGGGAGCUUUAGGAUGUCAGGUUCAGUGAUUUGGUGACCAGGUCCAAGCACAGUGUCAAGCUCAUCUCGUAGCUUCUUCUGGAUUCCAGGAUGGUUCACAAGCUCAGCAAUGCCCCACUCAAUCGACCAUAGUGUUGUUUCAAUUGCGGCAACAUUGAUGUUCUCAACAAUGUAAAGAACGUUGUCCUCAUUGAUUUCUCCCUUCUGCUGUGCGUCUAAAAUAUGAUCUAUUGCACAUUUCAACCCUUCAUUAUCCAUGCUCGUUGUGCUUGAAAGUUUCUUCCUCUCUUCAACAAAGUAGUCCUUGAAGAGUUGCAGUCUUCUUUCCUUCACUUCCUUGCAGAUCUUCAAGUAACCUCUCAAGAAAGGUCUCAAAAUGGGGAUAAAAUCACCAUAGUUGUACUCGAAGCUCUGAGCUAAUCUACUCCUCUCUCCGUUCAAAGCCUUCAGCUUCACAAACAAUGGAUCAUCUUCGCUCUCAAAUCUCCUAUCGAACAUAAUCCUGUACAUAUUAUUAUACAUCAACAGCUGCAGUCUUUUCCGCAACACAAUCCCACUGGUGGCUGCCUGUGGGUUCUUCUUCACAUCUUCCACCACCUUCGCUGCCUCAUCUUCCCACCCAUAUCGAUACUGCUGAACAACCUUGUUUGUGAAGAAUGGAACUGUCAUAAUCCGUCUCAUCUUCCUCCAGUGCUCACCGUACACGGUGAACACCAUGUCCUGUCCUUUACCAGUGAAAAUAUCAAACACAACAUUUCGGGUUCUGGACCCGAACUCAACACCCUGAGUAUGCAAAACCUCUUUAGACAAGUCCGGUGAAGAUACAACCACGAGAUUACGUUGUCCCAUACGAAGAAGAAAGAUAUCACCGAAUUUCUUAGCGAGGUCAGAGAGGUUACGGUGGUUCAAGUCAUCGCCGACUUGAAGCCAGUUACCGAAAACUGGGACUGACAAAGGACCCGGGGGAAGCUUAAAACGCUUGCCUCGCAAUUUAGAAAUGACAAUGGCAACAAUAACAGCAAUGAAGAGACCCAAAAGGGUCUUCUCCAGGAGGAGGAGAUCCAUGGGAGGCUUGGUUUGAUGGAUUAGAGAGGGUGAGAGGUAGGUAUUGGCCUAGUGGGUGUGGUGAGGGACAAAGGAAGAUGAUGGGGGAGUUGGUAUUUUAUAAUCAAGUUGGGGAGGUUGGAGAGGGACGUUAGGUGAAGCGUGC